rnacentral:rRNA from 1 species
AACGAACGCUGGCGGCGUGCCUAACACAUGCAAGUCGUGCGAGAAAGUUCCUUCGGGAGCGAGUAAAGCGGCGCACGGGCGAGUAACACGUAGGUAACCUGCCCCCCAGUCUGGAACAACUAGAGGAAACUCUAGCUAAUGCCGGAUGAGACCACGAUCCCUUCGGGGGUUGCGGCCAAAGAUGGCCUCUACUUGUAAGCUAUCGCUGAGGGAUGGGCCUGCGGGCCAUUAGCUUGUUGGUGAGGUAACGGCUCACCAAGGCUGUGAUGGCUAGCUGGUCUGAGAGGAUGACCAGCCACACUGGGACUGAGACACGGCCCAGACUCCUACGGGAGGCAGCAGUGGGGAAUAUUGCGCAAUGGGCGAAAGCCUGACGCAGCGACGCCGCGUGGGUGAUGAAGGCC